rnacentral:tRNA from 3 species
GGGCCAGUAGCUCAGUUGGUAGAGCACCGCCCUUUUAAGGCGGGUGUCGAGCGUUCGAGCCGCUCCUGGCUCA